rnacentral:tRNA from 1 species
AGGAUUUUAGUUAAUAAUAACAUUUAAAUUGCAUUUAAAAAUUAUACACCCAUAUGUAUAAAUCUUA